ACUAGGACUGAGUUCACUGAGCUGUUUAAGGCCAUCCAGGGCCUGACACAUGUAGUGUAUCAACAAAUACAUAAUAAUGCUUGCCCUCCUCUUGGGGAUAAUCCAACAGUCCACAACAGAACCAUAGCUGCUAAUAUAUAUGAGUUUAGGAAAUUAAAAUCUCCUAUCUACGAUGGUGGUCUUGAUCCUAUAGCUGCUGAUAGUUGGUU
rnacentral:lncRNA from 1 species